GAUUAUUUAUCGUCCAACCAGUGAGGGGAGGAUUAUUUAUAGCCAAACUUGGAAGCAAGGCAUCAGGUGGUGAGGAGCCCUUGGGUCAGACAAAGACAUCUGCUAGGAAUGCCAUCAAUACAAAGUGAACUGGCAGAGGCUGCAUUUGUACAGAUGCUGUGAUGCUCAAUUGUCAGUGAUGGGCUGCAGUAAAGGAGCAAGUGAGAGCUUCUCUGGAUCACUGCUGCACAAACUGUAUGGAGCCCUGUGUCCCUAUGCAGCUCCAUGGGGCUGCUUCUGGCUUACUGCACACGUCCAUACUACUGGCAUCAAACUGUUCUCUGGGCCAGGAGAGUUACUGGGAGGUACAGAUAGAAUGUGUCUGCAGAACUGUUCAACGUGCUGACGUGAGGAAGAUUGUCUCAAUGAGACUUUUUGACAAGAUUACUAAAACUUUCCUGAUCCAAUCGAUUGAGUGACCUCAUGGUUCAUAGUUUCAUCUUCUUACUUCUUGCUCCCCCCUUGGAUGGGGCGGCACAGAAUGUAAUGAUGCGUCUUUUAGAAGUGUUUGAAAUCAAGAUGGAACGAGGUGGAAGUGAAGUACAAUGGAACAGGCCAAGUAAUUUUAUGGAAAUAAAUUGGUUCUUUGAAUUGAAUUCUCUUUUCUAUUGUUACACUCUGAACCUUUACUGCUGUAACCUGACUUUGUCAGCACCUAAUUCCAAAGUAGACCCCCAAAAAAUCAAGGAAGAGAAAAAUACAGAAAUAUGGCCAUCUGGAAUUAAAAAUAUUUUGAGUUCAGUACUUCAUUGGUAUUUUUAGUAUUUUAUUCUAUUGCAAAACACUCCUGGCUUUCUGAUAGAAUGAAAAACAGGUUAAAUAAUGUGAAAAGACCGGAGGGUGGAGUAGAACUGGUUCAAUUAUGUACACUAAUUGUGUGCUGUUUGAUUUUUUUUCUCCUUUAACUGUGUUUCUAAGAUGAACUCCUUCUAUAAAUCUACAACAGUAACUUCUGUUCCAAUAAAAUUUUGUUAAGCUUUUUGUCCUACUGGAGAUACAACCUUAGAAAACUAAACAACUGUGGUGGCAUGUCAGGAAACAGUUUCCCCUGCCUCGCACUUUUUUUUUGUCUGAAGAUUGACGGAAGAGCAACAAGACUUCAAGAAUGUUGUUCAGCAAGCCUAUAGCUUUACGUAAUGUUUCAAGGAACUAUCUGACAGUAAUUCAUCCAGCACAGGUCAUCCAUUCUAUCGUAACCCACUUUGCAAAGGCCCCUGUCAGCUCUCUACCUCAUUAACCAGGCACAGCACCUUUGCAGAGACUUCACUGCUCUCUCCUCAUGCAAAACAGAGGGGCUUGACUCCUCGCUGUUCAAGGGAUUCAGAACUUCGGCCUGUUCUUCAGUAACUCCUUUUAGUAGAUGCUUUCCCUAUGCAAUUUCAAUUCUGGCUUUCUUAAUGGAUAAGAAGCUCUUUGAAGAAAUUCUCUACAAACAGGAAUCUGCUGAAUUGCGACUCUUCCUUUCUCCUCCUGAAAGAGGAAAGAAAAUAGGAUGUUUGUCACAUUCACUCACCAUGAAGGUGCUUCUCUUCUCAGGUCUGCAGAGACUGUGUGCUGAGGGUUCUGGAGAUAUGGAGCAAGGUUUAUAAGCUCUUUUGAAUUAUUUUAUUUUAUUUGGAGGUAGGAGUGUGGGAGCUAAGAAUGGGAAGGGGAAAAAAAGGCUUAGUGUGUACUAGUUCAGGAUUUCUUCAUGCUCUUCUCUGUUAGAACAUGCAAAGAGAACACUAUUAGUGCUGGUACCUCAUAGUUCUAAUUUUGAAACUGCCAAAGACUGUCUCUGCUCAGCCAAAGCUUUUCCAUUUCUUGGGCUCCCAGGAUGGGUUGUAACUUUCUACAAGCCUUUGCAUACUACUUUGAAGACUGGAUACCUUUAAAAAUGUUGGGUUUUUUUUUUUUUUUUCAGAGCAGUAGUUUUAAUAAAGUUUAAUAUUGGGGCAAUAUUGUUUAUCCACAUUAACAUCAAAUUACUUUCAUAUUAAUAAAUGAAUAUGAAACAUUUAGUUCCUGUCAAUCCAUCUCUAUAGUUUUAUUAAAAAUAGACUUUUAUACAAACUCCCACAGACAUUU
ensembl:lncRNA